rnacentral:rRNA from 1 species
CCUACGGGACGCAGCAGUGAGGAAUAUUGGUCAAUGGGCGGGAGCCUGAACCAGCCAAGCCGCGUGAGGGAAGAAGGUACAGCGUAUCGUAAACCUCUUUUGUCAGGGAACAAAGGCGGGGACUAGUCCCCGGAUGAGGGUACCUGAAGAAAAAGCAUCGGCUAACUCCGUGCCAGCAGCCGCGGUAAUACGGAGGAUGCGAGCGUUAUCCGGAUUUAUUGGGUUUAAAGGGUGCGCAGGCGGCCUGUUAAGUCAGCGGUAAAAGCCCGGGGCUCAACCCCGUCGAGCCGUUGACACUGGCGGGC